rnacentral:lncRNA from 1 species
CGCCGGGUUCUCUCAGUCUUGGUAAAUAUUCUUUUUUCUAAUUCAUUUUAAUUUUUUUUCGUGAAAACUAAUUUUCGGCUACCAGUCUGAAACUCCAGGAAGUGAUGAAUAACACUAAUCUCUGAGUGCUUAUGGAUUCAAGCAACCCUUGUGGACGAUCCAAGGCCCGGUUUCCUAUUUUUCACUGUAAAAAACCGAUACAGAUUCAGGGUCUGAUUUCUGUUUCUCUUCCGCCAAUUCUCUUGCAUACAUGGAAAAUCAGACAAGGACCAUGGAAAUGGAAGGAUGUUCCGAGUGUAUAAUCUUAUAGAUGCAUAACCAUUACAUGAACAGCAAGAAGUCA